rnacentral:rRNA from 1 species
AUUGAACGCUGGCGGCAGGCCUAACACAUGCAAGUCGAGCGGAUGACGGGAGCUUGCUCCUUGAUUCAGCGGCGGACGGGUGAGUAAUGCCUAGGAAUCUGCCUGGUAGUGGGGGACAACGUUUCGAAAGGAACGCUAAUACCGCAUACGUCCUACGGGAGAAAGCAGGGGACCUUCGGGCCUUGCGCUAUCAGAUGAGCCUAGGUCGGAUUAGCUAAUUGGUGAGGUAAUGGCUCACCAAGGCGACGAUCCGUAACUGGUCUGAGAGGAUGAUCAGUCACACUGGAACUGAGACACGGUCCAGACUCCUACGGGAGGCAGCAGUGGGGAAUAUUGGACAAUGGGCGAAAGCCUGAUCCAGCCAUGCCGCGUGUGUGAAGAAGGUCUUCGGAUUGUAAAGCACUUUAAGUUGGGAGGAAGGGCAGUAAGCUAAUACCUUGCUGUUUUGACGUUACCGGCAGAAUAAGCACCGGCUAACUCUGUGCCAGCAGCCGCCGUAA